ACAUGCUCACUAGUCCUUUGAGUGAGCUCUCUGGCUCCAAUUUUUUUUUAACACAGUAGGAAGUUAGCCAGUUGCUAUAUAUGUACUUCAGUUUUCAAAAUACAUGUUCACUCUCAAGAGGAAAUUAGAAUGUUACAGUUUAAAUAAAACCCUGAAUUACAAAAAUGUUGUUUGUGAAGGACAUUUGAUAUAAAUAGGAGAGGAAAUAAUAUCUAAUUUGUUAAUAUUUUAUUUUUAAGCAAUUUCUCUAUUUUGCCUCAUGUUUUAGAAUAGUAAUAAUAUGGGUGUGUCCUUGAGAAAAAUAUUUUAAUUCAAGCCAAGUAACAUUGAGAAAAUAAAAACAUUGAUAUGUUUGAGGUGAAAGUUAACCAAAAAUUUUAAGUAAAUCUUUUUUUUUAAUUUCCGUAGCUGUAACAUAAAACUGUUUCAUUUUCUAAAUGAAGCAUAAAACAAUAUUUCAUUUUCUAAAUGAAAUGCUUACUGUCAUAGUACAUAUUAGUAAUCAUACAGCAUUAACAUUUCUUUUUUGUCUUUUGGGCUUUGAAGUUGAGUUUAUUUUCCUUAGUCAUAUUAAAACAGGGAUGAAGUAACAGUUUACACAGUUAAAGAUUCAAAUUACCUAUGCAGAUAACAAUUGAAUUACUGGCAUAAUAUUUUUCAUUUGAUGUCAGAAAAAGGGGAUGAUUUCUGUUAAAUUUUUAUAAAUUUUCAGUGACUUCUACCUUUCAAAAGAAUAAAUGUUAUCUUAAGAGAUCCCUGAAUUAAUUUUAAAAUAAGUGUGACCCUAUUUAUAUUUGAAAUAAGAAUUAAUAGUUAAUGUUAACAAUAUUUUAGUGAAACUUACUUUGGUUAUGGCAAUUUCUGAAGCUGAAUUAGACUUCUUUAGUAGUUAGAGACUAUCUGAAGGGCUGGAAAGUGUUGCUGAAAUUGAUAUUGUACAUUUCUGACCUGCUAUUGAAUUUACAAAUUAAUUUUAUUAUAGUUCAAAAUGUAGUAAUAGGAGUUUCUUACAGGAUAUUUAUAAAGGAACUACUUGGUUGGGAAAGUGCUCUUUCAAUAACCAUUUGUUGAAUAAUAUAGUGACUGAUAACUUGGACUUGGAUUUCUAUAAUAACAUGGUUACUGUUCCAAGCAUACAUUUAAUUGAGCUUACUGACAUUCUCUUAUGUAAGUUUGUUACUGUAAAUAUGUAAUUUUGGUAAUUCUCACUACGAGGCUCAUUCGGAUUAUUUCAUUUAAAACUGCCAGUAGCUAUAGUUUUCAGAGACAAAGUUAUUUCCUUUAGCUUUUUUGGACAUUCUUUUUAGUUUUCACAAAACAAGUAAAACUGUUUUAUUAUUUAUUAUAGAAGGUAAAAUUCCCAGCUUCAACCUCAGAAUGGCAUUGUGGCAUAUUUCUUUAUAAUAUUGUACAUUUGAUCAUGAAGGGGGAAAGAUUAUGGAUUUUUUUCUUAUUUAAACAAAGUAGCUUCUAAUCAAGCUAACUUCAAAUCAGAAUGUUAUUACAACUGCUAAAGUCACACAAAGAGAACCUUUUGUGCCUUUUUUGCCUGCAGUAAGUAUUCAUUUCUGUUUUAUACCAACUUUGUUGAUAAUUAUUGCACCUUUUUUCCCCCCAGUAAAUAGAAUUGAUUAGGGAAAACUUUUUAAAACAAGGAGCAGUUUUUCAUGGCUAAGUACUUUAGUAAUUAGGAGGAGAUGUCAAAAAUAACUCUACAUAGCCUAGUCUUUUCCAUGGUUAAGUAGUACACUUCUUUGGACUAUAGGCAAUUGUUUGUAUAUAUGUGUAAAUGGAUGUAUAAAUAGCAUUUAAAUAUAUAAACGUAAUCUCAGCAUCACAUUUGUGUGAUGACAAUAGUAUUGAGGUGCUAGGUGAUUACAUUAAAAGCACAACAUAUUAUAUAAUCAGUCACUAUGACUGGUACUUUUGUUUUAUUAGGUUCAGUUUCUGAACCACCCAGAAUACCUCAUAUGUAAAUACAGUGGUCAUGACUAAUUGAAAUACAGCUGUUGUAAAAAGAAUGUGAAGCCACUGGUUGGCUUAUGCCUUCUAAUCUAUCUUUUGCCUCUUUUUUGUAAAGGGGUUGGGUUUUGUUUCUGACUUUUGUUUUUUAAUAGGGUUUACAGCUAGAAUUUUGAAUGCCAAAGUUCUAUUUAUUAAAUUAAGAAAAGUUUUCAGUGUUAAUGGCUAAAUAUUUUUCCACUGGACUAUUGUUUGUUGAUGUUGAAAUUUGUAUUUACAGAGAAAUAAAUUUUUU